UACGUAGGGGCUAGCGUUGUCCGGAAUCAUUGGGCGUAAAGCGCGUGUAGGCGGUCCGGUAAGUCCGCUGUGAAAGUCGGGGUCAACCCUCGGAUGCCGGUGGAUACUGUCGGGCUUGAGUACGGAAGAGGCGAGUGGAAUUCCUGGUGUAGCGGUGAAAUGCGCAGAUAUCAGGAGGAACACCAAUUGCGAAGGCAGCUCGCUGGGACGUGACUGACGCUGAGACGCGAAAGCGUGGGGAGCAAACAGG
rnacentral:rRNA from 1 species